CAGCCUCAGGCCCAGAAGCAUCCACGUCUAGGUGCUCUGGAGUCCCUUCCUGUCCUGUGUCCCUACGUGACAAACGUCUGAGCACUGCCUGGGAAAACUCUUCUACGCCGUUACAGACUAAUGAGAAGAGUUCCCUGUGCUAUAUACCUGGAGGUGAGCAUGCGUUUCUGGACCAAAUGUCAACGUGUAACUGACACCACAACUAGCCACAGUGCACCCUGCAACCUUAUGGGUAAGAUUCC